UGCAAGCUCAGUUCAUAUUCAAGUGCCUUCCUCCUCCCUGAGAACUGUAACCUGCAUUCCUUACCCUCCAUGUUUAUUUCUGUUCCCUGUGUGUAUGUUACACAUGUCCAGCUUGAUUUCUGACUAUCCAGUCCAUCACGCUUUUCAUCUUUCAACUCUCAAUUAUUUUUCCAUCCCUGAACCUCAAUACUUUUAAAACCUUACUCUCCAAGCUGGAAAUAAACUCCACAAUCAAACUUUAUCUUGAACUUUCCUAUGGUAUCUGCCAUAGGGUAGAGAGAGACCCUAGCAGUUCUCUAUCUCCCAUGAGGUAAGAUAGAGACUCACUGAGGACUGGCUUUAAAUUUUAAUUUGGUUCUUAUCUAUUCAAAAACACCCAAGUAUUUGUUGAAUGCGUUUUUAAUGACUUUUAGGUAGUAUUCUUUGCUGUCAGUGUUGGACAUGUAUAUGUGGUGGUUUGAACAAGAAUGGCCCUAUAGGCUCAUAAUUUGAUGCUUAGUAAUCAGGAAGUGGCGCUUUUUGGAAGGAUUAUGAGGUGUGGUAGGUAUAGCCUUGUCAAAGAAAGUAUUUCAUUUGGAUUGGGCUGUGAGGUUUCAAAAGCCCAAGCCAACCCUAGGGGCUCUCUCUCUUCCUGAUCUCUGUAGAUCCAGGUGUAGAACUCUCACCUCCUUUUCCAGCACAAUGUCUACCUACAUGCCAACAUGCUUCCUGCCAUGCUGAUAACAAACUAAACUCUGAAACUGCAAAGCUUAUGUAAGGCAAAGGACACUAUCAAUAGGACAAAACAGAUUAAACUCUUAAGAAAUACUGCUCCCAGCUAGCAAGAUGGUGACUGCAAGUGUUCACUAGGAUGUGGGAACUUUGAACCUUACAUGAGUAUGAAAUUGGACAGGUAUACACUACAUUGAAUUGAUACAUCAAAACUUAACUGUGCAUAUUAUUGGGUAUGAUGUGACAUUUCAGGUCAUGUAUAUAAUGUAUAAUGAUGAUACUGGAAUAACUGGCAUAUCUAACACUCUAACAUCUAUAAUGUCUUCAUGUUGCUGUUGGCGUAGGCAGAUUGGUAGAAAAGACAGAAGGCAGAUGAGAGAUACUGCCUUCAGCUGGGAGUGUAGCAUUGCUGACAAGAGGACCAGCCUUGGGUAUUGAGUUUUUCAAGUGAUUAAAAUGUCCUAAAAUUCCAUUGUACUCACUGAGGUGACCUCUUAGGAUAUUCUCAAAACCAUUUCACUAUAUGUGGAUAUGGAAAUUGUAUCUCAAAAUAUUUUUUAAGUUAUUGAUCAUAAAUAUUAAUUAACUGAAUAUUCAUUCAUCUCAUAUUUUAUACCUGGAUUUAACAUUUUAGAACUUUAAGACUUGAUGAAUGCAGUGUUUUCAAAGGUGUUUUUAUUUGUUUGUUUGUUUGUCUUCAUAAAUCUAGCUGGACAGCUCAGCCAGUCAGCACACUUAGCUCUUCAGCUACCUUACAAUGUACUUGGCUUAGGCCGAAGUGCCAAUUUCCUGGAUCAUCUUUUUGUUGGUAUUCCCCGUCCAUCUGGAGAGAAGUCUAUAAGAAAACAAGAGUGGACAGCAAUCAUUCCAAAUUCCCAGCUGAUUGUCAUUCCAUAUCCUCACAAUGUCCCUCGAAGGUAAUAUCCUUCCUUUAUUGAACUCAAUUUGGUAGAUAUCCAGUAGCAUAUUUUGAUAAAAUUUCAUAUUUAUUGCCUACCCUGAGUACCCAACACGUAAUUUACCUAGUCAAUUUUAAAUUAUUAAACACACCUACCUGAUGUUUCAUAAGGAAUAAAUUCAUUCCUAUCAGGACAAAAAGCAGCCUAAUUAGUAAUUUGUACAUAUAGUAUACGUUUAAUUUUCAUUAGUUGUAAAUAAUAUUGUUUUGAGAUGCUGGGAAUUGAACCCAUAGCUUUGUGUAUGUCAAGCAAGCAUUUCAGCAGUGAGCUCCUCUUAGCUCUAGCCUUUUUUAUUAAAACCUUACAUGAGCUGCAUUCAUGCAGUAGUACUUUAGAACCAGUGCAUGUCAUGUCAUGAGCUGACUGUGUCUACAUUUUUCUGUCUUUAUUCCAUAAAGUCUUAUUAAAAUCUGUUUUGGGGAGAGAGUUUACCCCAUGAAAACUAAUAAAUGUCAUAAACCAUGUUUACCUACACUGCUGGACAACUAACUGGCCAACAUAUCACUGUACAUUUAAGAUCGCAUUAUUAAAAACAGUUACUUGCCUGAUGGAGGGUUGGAUUGGGUUGAGGCUUUGCUUUGUUUUUGUGAUAGUCUCACCUAACUGCCUAGGCUCCAGCAAAUCUCUCCCUCAGCCUCCUGAGUACCUACCAUGCCUGGCUCUGAUCUGGUUGGUUGGUUGGUUGGUUGGUUGGUUUGGUUUGGUUUGGUUUGGUUUUUAAUGAUGCAGUGUUAUAUAUUUGUGAUACCUUUUCCCAAAUUAAGUUGACAACAAACUAUAAAGUCUGAAUGAGUUCCAGAGAAACUAGAGAACAGAAAGUGUAGCACUGACAGAGUGUACUCUACUAACUCACUUAUAUUUACUACCAUGGACAUAGGAAAGUAUAUAAUAAGAGGAAGAGAAAGGAACCAAGCAGGAUGGAGAUUUUAUAUAUACAUAUGUACAUACAUACAUACAUACAUACAUACAUACAUACAUACAUACAUACAAUUAACUUAUUUAAAAGAAGAUGUCUGUAUCUAUAUGUUUAUAGAUGUUAUCUCUAACAGGAAUGCACAUGAAAUCUCUUGAGUAGGCAACUGAAGAUUGAUGAUGUGUUUUCUUUUAACCAAAAUGGCAUAUAUCUUGAGCUUUGAAAAAAGAUCUAUUUUAAAAAUUGAACUAAAAAAAACUCAAGAGAAAAAAACUAAAAAGUUUUAUGGGCUAAAGAGAUGGAUCCAUGAUAAAGAGCAAUUGCUGCUCUUGCAGAGGACCUCAGUUCAUUUCUCAACACCCACAUCAGGUGGCUCACAGCUACCUAUAAUUCCAGCUCCAAGGAAUCUGAGUUCCUCUUGUGACCUCCAUAGGCACCUACCGAUAUGUAUGUGCAUCACACACACACACACACACACACACACACAGACGGAGGGAGGGAGAGAGAAUAGGCAAAUAAAAAUUUCUAAUGGUUUAUUAAAAACUGGUUUUAUUCUAAGCAUAGUGUCCUACACCUGUAACCUCAGUACCCAGAAGGCUGAGUCAGGAUGAAACAACCUCAAGGAUAUAUCAGGCUGUAUAGGAAGACCCUGUC
rnacentral:lncRNA from 1 species